rnacentral:rRNA from 1 species
GGCUAUGGCCAUGCCACUCUGAACAAACCUGAUCCCGUCUGAUCUCGGAAGCUGAGCAGGGUCAGGCCUUAUUAGUACUUGGAUGGGAGACCACCUAGGAAGACCAGGUGCUAUAGGCA